UUACGGCCAUAUCAAGUUGAAACACGGCUUCUCGUAGGAUCACCGAAGUUAAGCAACGUUGAGCCUGGUUAGUACCUAGAUAGGUGACCGCAUGGGAUUACCAGGUGAUGUAAGC